GAUGAACGCUGGCGGCGUGCCUAAUACAUGCAAGUCGAGCGAACAGACGAGGAGCUUGCUCCUCUGACGUUAGCGGCGGACGGGUGAGUAACACGUGGAUAACCUACCUAUAAGACUGGGAUAACUUCGGGAAACCGGAGCUAAUACCGGAUAAUAUAUUGAACCGCAUGGUUCAAUAGUGAAAGACGGUUUUGCUGUCACUUAUAGAUGGAUCCGCGCCGCAUUAGCUAGUUGGUAAGGUAACGGCUUACCAAGGCAACGAUGCGUAGCCGACCUGAGAGGGUGAUCGGCCACACUGGAACUGAGAAACGGUCCAGACUCCUACGGGAGGCAGCAGUAGGGAAUCUUCCGCAAUGGGCGAAAGCUUGACGGAGCAACGCCGGGUGAGUGAUGAAGGUCUUCGGAUCGUAAAACUCUGUUAUUAGGGAAGAACAAAUGCGUAAGUAACUAUGCACGUCUUGACGGUACCUAAUCAGAAAGCCACGGCUAACUACGUG
rnacentral:rRNA from 1 species